CACCACUCAAGCCUGGCUUGGUGUUGGGCGAUGUCCUCCUUGGGGACGCGCCUCGAAACGCUCGGCGGCGUGGCACCGGCUUUAAGCGUAGCAGAACCUUUCGCUUUGAAAGUCGGGGCCCCGCCUGCCGGAAGGCCUACUCGCAA
rnacentral:misc_RNA from 1 species